UCAGGAAAAUGACUCCCAUCCCCAAUAUGUAAAGAGCUCCUAGAAAUUGAUAAGAAAAAGAUCAGCAAAAGAGAGUAUGAGACCCUUUACAGAAAGAAAUACAAAAGGUUUUAAGCAUAUGAACGUAUGUUCAUUCUCAAUGAUAAUAUACAAAAUUGUCUAAUCCAAAGGUUUGAAAAUAUACUCUGAAGCUGUGUAGAAAUAGGAACUUUUAUUCAUUGCCAACAGAAAUAUAAGUUGCCUGCCAAUGGAUGCAGUUUGACGAUAUCUAUCAAAGUUACAAAUUGGCCAGGUGCAGUGGCUCACACUUGUAAUACUAGCACUUUGGGAGGCCAAAGCAGGUGGAUCACUUGAGGUCAGGAGUUCGAGACCAGCCUGGCCAACAUGGUGAAACCCCUUCUCUACAAAAAGAUACAAAAAUUAGCUGGGCAUGAUGGUGCUCCUGUAAUCCCAGCUACUUGGGAGGCUGAGGCACUUGAACCCAGGAGGUGGAGGUUGCAGUGAGCCGAGAUCGCACCACUGCACUCCAGCCUGGGCAACAGAGAGAGGCUCUGUCUCAAAACAAUAACAACAACAACAAAAACCCCACAAAAUUACAAAUGUAUUUACCCUUUCAUUUAUCAGUCCCAGUACAGGGAAUUCAUCCCACUUAACACUUCUACACUUGACAUGUGUUCACAGUUAUUGAUUGCAGCUUUCCUCUCAAGAGCCAAAGAUUAGAAACAACCCAAUUUCCUCCAGCAAGGGUCCGGUUAAAUAAAUGAUGACCAUCCACAUGACAAAAUACAAUGUAGUUGGGAAAGAAAAUAAGAAAAAGUGAAAGGAGGGAGCCUUUUAUGUAUCACUCUGGAAAGAUCUCUGGCUAAACCCAGUUGCUACCAGGGCUAGCACUUACUGCUCUGUGCCUGAGGCACCCAGCUGGAUUUUACCAGCACCUUAGGAGAUUGCUUUACCAGCAUGUCCCCAACACCUGGGUCAUCAUGGUCACUAUGGGCCAGGCCGGAGCUCCUGGCCCAGCUCAACCACUGACCAGAAGAGAGAUAUUGGCCAGUCCUCCUGUGGGGACACAUAGCCCAGGUCCUGCAGUGAACUCUAACCCUGGGCCUCCAGGUCACGUGAAGACAGACAAACUGCAGAGAGCUCUUCUUUGCUUGCCUUAAAGAAUCAAGGUCAACUUCAUUAUGGAACCAGGAAAUGGAUAUCCUCACAUGCCCAUUUUACAGAUGGGAAAACUGAGGCCCAGUGAGGGGAAAGCCAUUGGGAAUCAUGGAUAGCAUGGCAUGGCCGUUUGGAGCAAGGAUCCCACAUCCCCUCCACCACAGGCCCCACCCAGGCUGGCCCUGAGCUGCGGGACAGGAACUUGUGCCUGACCUACUGAUCCCGGCAGCUGCUCCCACUGAGCUUGGACCACGUGCUUGAGACCCGCCUCCCCUCAUUUAAACCCUGCUCGGGCAGCCUCACACCAGUGGGGACCGUACUUGUUCACAGCAAUUCUCUCAAGCCUCUAGAACAGAGCCUGACACAGGAGGUGCUUAAUGUUUACUGAAUAAAUAGAUGAAUGAAUCAGUGUAAUCCUCCCAACAGCCCUUCGAGGGGGUGCUCUAAAGAAUCCUGCGACACAAAGAAGUCUUGGGUUCAUUCAUUCAGUCAUUCAUGCAUUCAGCACCUGUGUGCUGCUCCCUGUUGUAUGCAGACACCUGGAAUAUGACAGUGAGCCUCAAACACCUGGAAUAUAACAGUGAACCCCAGGCCCCUGGAAUAUGAUGGUGAAUGCCAGACCCCUGGAAUACGAUGAUAAACCCCAGGCCCCUGGAAUACGAUGGUGAACCCCAGGCCCCUGGAAUACGAUGGUGAGCCCAGACACCUGGAAUACAGCAGUGAACCCCAGACACCUGGAAUAUGAGAGUGAAUCCCAGACACCUGGAAUACAGCAGUGAACCCCAGACACCUGGAAUAUGACAGUGAAUCCCAGACACCUGGAAUAUAACAGUGAACCCAGGCACCUGGAAUAUGACGGUGAACCCCAGACACCUGGAAUACGACAGUGAGCCCCAGACACCUGGAAUACAACGGUGAACCCGACACCUGGAAUACGACAGUGAACGCCAGACACCUGGAAUAUGAUGGUGAACCCCAGACACCUGGAAUAUAACAGUGAACCCAAGCACCUGGAAUAUGACGGUGAACCCCAGACACCUGGAAUACGACAGUGAACCCCAGACACCUGGAAUAUGGUGGUGAACCCCAGGCCCCUAGAAUAUGACAGUGAACCCCAGACACCUGGAAUACGACAGUGAGCCCCAGACACCUGGAAUACAACAGUGAACCCAACACCUGGAAUACGACAGUGAACGCCAGACACCUGGAAUAUGAUGGUGAACCCCAGGCCCCUGGAAUAUGACAGUGAACCCCAGACACCUGGAAUACAACAGUGAACCCCAGACACCUGGAAUACGACAGUGAGCCCCAGACACCUGGAAUACAAUGGUGAACCCCAGACACCUGGAAUACGACAGUGAACGCCAGACACCUGGAAUAUGAUGGUGAACUCCAGACCUCUGGAAUAUGGUGGUGAACCCCAGGCCCCUGGAAUAUGACAGUGAACCCCAGACACCUGGAAUACGACAGUGAGCCCCAGACACCUGGAAUACAAUGGUGAACUCCAGACACCUGGAAUACAACGAUGAACCCCAGACACCUGGAAUACGACAGUGAACCCCAGACACCUGGAAUAUGGUGGUGAACCCCAGGCCCCUGGAAUAUGACAGUGAACCCCGUAAACCUGGAAUACAAUGGUAAACCCUAGACACCUGGAAUACAACGAUGAACCCCAGACAACUGGAAUAUGAAAGUGAACGCCAGACACCUGGAAUAUGAUGGUGAACCCCAGACCUCUGGAAUAUGACAGUGAACCUAUACACCAUCCCUGUCCUGAGAGCUCACAGCCCAACAGAGGGGACAGCAUCUCACCCACAGCCAGCAGUGGAGGCUACAAAGCUAGAGCCUGCUCUAGCAUAAGGUCUUGUGCCAGCCACAGAGCUAGAGCCACCUCCAGCUCCAACACUCGGGCCAGCUCCAGAGCUAAAGCCAUCUUCAGUGUCGGUUCUUGCCCCCCUUCUGGCACCAGGCUAGAGUUAGAAUCAGCUCCAGAAUAAGAGCCAGUUCUAGAUCUAGCUCCAGCACCACUGCCUGGGAUAGAGGCAGCUCCAGCCCUGGCUCAGGCCCCCGCUACUGAGCCAGUUCCACAGCCAGAACGCGGCAGCUCGAGCAUCGGCCACCACUCCAGCUCCAGUGCGGGAGCCUCAGGCAGGCACCACCUUCAGCACCAGCUCCUGUGCCAGAGCUUUAAGGCCCCUCCCUGGGCUGGCAACAUUUCAUUUUUAUAGUAUGUUUCUAUUUCAUAUUCUUUAUGGUUUAUUAUAUUUUGUGAUUUAAAUUUU
rnacentral:lncRNA from 1 species